AGGUAAGCUACUAAGAGCGAAUGGUGGAUGCCUUGACUGGUAAAGGCGAUGAAGGACGUACUAGACUGCGAUAAGCUACGGGGAGCUGUCAAGAAGCUUUGAUCCGUAGAUUUCCGAAUGGGGCAACCCAAUGUAUAGAGAUAUACAUUACCUAUAUAGGAGCGAACGAGGGGAAUUGAAACAUCUUAGUACCCUCAGGAAAAGAAAUCAAUAGAGAUUGCGUCAGUAGCGGCGAGCGAAAGCGCAAGAGGGCAAACCCAGUGCUUGCACUGGGGGUUGUAGGACUGCAAUGUGCAAGAGCUGAGUUUAGCAGAACAUUCUGGAAAGUAUAGCCAUAGAGGGUGAUAGUCCCGUAUGCGAAAAACAAAGCUUAGCUAGCAGUAUCCUGAGUAGGGCGGGACACGAGGAAUCCUGUCUGAAUCCGGGUCGACCACGAUCCAACCCUAAAUACUAAUACCAGAUCGAUAGUGCACAAGUACCGUGAGGGAAAGGUGAAAAGAACUGAGGUGAUCAGAGUGAAAUAGAACCUGAAACCAUUUGCUUACAAUCAUUCAGAGCACUAUGUAGCAAUACAGUGUGAUGGACUGCCUUUUGCAUAAUGAGCCUGCGAGUUGUGGUGUCUGGCAAGGUUAAGCAAACGCGAAGCCGUAGCGAAAGCGAGUCUGAAUAGGGCGCUUAGUCAGAUGCUGCAGACCCGAAACGAAGUGAUCUAUCCAUGAGCAAGUUGAAGCUAGUGUAAGAACUAGUGGAGGACUGAACCCAUAGGCGUUGAAAAGCCCCGGGAUGACUUGUGGAUAGGGGUGAAAGGCCAAUCAAACUUCGUGAUAGCUGGUUCUCUCCGAAAUAUAUUUAGGUAUAGCGUUGUGUCGUAAUAUAAGGGGGUAGAGCACUGAAUGGGCUAGGGCAUACACCAAUGUACCAAACCCUAUCAAACUCCGAAUACCUUAUAUGUAAUCACAGCAGUCAGGCGGCGAGUGAUAAAAUCCGUCGUCAAGAGGGAAACAACCCAGACUACCAGCUAAGGUCCCUAAAUCUUACUUAAGUGGAAAACGAUGUGAAGUUACUUAAACAACCAGGAGGUUGGCUUAGAAGCAGCCAUCCUUUAAAGAAAGCGUAAUAGCUCACUGGUCUAGUGAUUUUGCGCGGAAAAUAUAACGGGGCUAAAGUAAGUACCGAAGCUGUAGACUUGCACACAACUUAGAUUAUUUAAGUUUAGA
rnacentral:rRNA from 1 species